UACGUAGGGUGCAAGCGUUGUCCGGAAUUAUUGGGCGUAAAGAGCUCGUAGGCGGUCUGUCGCGUCGAAUGUGAAAACCCGGGACUCAACUCCGGGCCUGCAUUCGAUACGGGCAGACUAGAGUUCGGUAGGGGAGACUGGAAUUCCUGGUGUAGCGGUGAAAUGCGCAGAUAUCAGGAGGAACACCGGUGGCGAAGGCGGGUCUCUGGGCCAUUACUGACGCUGAGGAGCGAAAGCGUGGGGAGCGAACAGG
rnacentral:rRNA from 1 species